GGAACAUGAAAUAAGAGAGGAGCUCCGUAAGUCCAUGCUGAAACUCCCAACAGAACUCGGAAACUGGUCCUUUACUGGAAAUAUUAGUUUGCCAUCAUACAAAAUGAUUAGACACGCAUGUGAGUGUCGGGAUGUAUUUGCAGAGGCACUGAACACAACUUGGCACCAGUUGGAGUCCAACAGCACAGAGCUCACUAAACUAAGGACAAACACCAAGCUCCUUUCACGACCCCAAACGAACCGCACCUGUCCAAUGGAUGUGAAAGAAUUCAACCCAUCAGAAUCAUUUCGGAAAUUACUCUUAUUCCUCAGGAGUCUAAAUAACCAAUGCUAGAGCUCCAAUAGUCUUCAAGAUUGAACAUAAAUAUAUAUCGGCUAUGUUCUAACACGAUAUUUUGUAUUUAAGACUUCAUUGCAGGUCAAUUGAAGUAACCUUUUGAUAAUAUAUCAUUUAAAUGAUUAUCAGGGCAUUUAUUUAUGAAUUUAUUUAUUUAUUUAUACGUAAUUUAAAUGAUUAUCAGGGAAUUUAUUUAUUGUUUAUCUAUUUAUACAUAUAUUUAUUUUGUAUUUAAGUGACUUCACAAUGUUAUCAUUUGUUGGACAAUAUUACAAUACAUGGAUGUCAUCCACUGAAAUGUGAACAUUAAAAUAAAAUGAUUUGCAAAUACAUUAUAUAUAUUAUUGUCCAUA